rnacentral:rRNA from 1 species
GUUUGAUCAUGGCUCAGAUUGAACGCUGGCGGCAGGCCUAACACAUGCAAGUCGAACGGUAACAGGAAGCAGCUUGCUGCUUCGCUGACGAGUGGCGGACGGGUGAGUAAUGUCUGGGAAGCUGCCUGAUGGAGGGGGAUAACUACUGGAAACGGUAGCUAAUACCGCAUAAUGUCGCAAGACCAAAGAGGGGGACCUUCGGGCCUCUUGCCAUCGGAUGUGCCCAGAUGGGAUUAGCUUGUUGGUGGGGUAACGGCUCACCAAGGCGACGAUCCCUAGCUGGUCUGAGAGGAUGACCAGCCACACUGGAACUGAGACACGGUCCAGACUCCUACGGGAGGCAGCAGUGGGGAAUAUUGCACAAUGGGCGCAAGCCUGAUGCAGCCAUGCCGCGUGUAUGAAGAAGGCCUUCGGGUUGUAAAGUACUUUCAGCGGGGAGGAAGGGAGUAAAGUUAAUACCUUUGCUCAUUGACGUUACCCGCAGAAGAAGCACCGGCUAACUCCGUGCCAGCAGCCGCGGUAAUACGGAGGGUGCAAGCGUUAAUCGGUAUUACUGGGCGUAAAGCGCACGCAGGCGGUUUGUUAAGUCAGAUGUGAAAUCCCCGGGCUCAACCUGGGAACUGCAUCUGAUACUGGCAAGCUUGAGUCUCGUAGAGGGGGGUAGAAUUCCAGGUGUAGCGGUGAAAUGCGUAGAGAUCUGGAGGAAUACCGGUGGCGAAGGCGGCCCCCUGGACGAAGACUGACGCUCAGGUGCGAAAGCGUGGGGAGCAAACAGGAUUAGAUACCCUGGUAGUACACGCCGUAAACGAUGUCGACUUGGAGGUUGUGCCCUUGAGGCGUGGCUUCCGGAGCUAACGCGUUAAGUCGACCGCCUGGGGAGUACGGCCGCAAGGUUAAAACUCAAAUGAAUUGACGGGGGCCCGCACAAGCGGUGGAGCAUGUGGUUUAAUUCGAUGCAACGCGAAGAACCUUACCUGGUCUUGACAUCCACGGAAGUUUUCAGAGAUGAGAAUGUGCCUUCGGGAACCGUGAGACAGGUGCUGCAUGGCUGUCGUCAGCUCGUGUUGUGAAAUGUUGGGUUAAGUCCCGCAACGAGCGCAACCCUUAUCCUUUGUUGCCAGCGGUCCGGCCGGGAACUCAAAGGAGACUGCCAGUGAUAAACUGGAGGAAGGUGGGGAUGACGUCAAGUCAUCAUGGCCCUUACGACCAGGGCUACACACGUGCUACAAUGGCGCAUACAAAGAGAAGCGACCUCGCGAGAGCAAGCGGACCUCAUAAAGUGCGUCGUAGUCCGGAUUGGAGUCUGCAACUCGACUCCAUGAAGUCGGAAUCGCUAGUAAUCGUGGAUCAGAAUGCCACGGUGAAUACGUUCCCGGGCCUUGUACACACCGCCCGUCACACCAUGGGAGUGGGUUGCAAAAGAAGUAGGUAGCUUAACCUUCGGGAGGGCGCUUGCCACUUUGUGAUUCAUGACUGGGGUGAAGUCGUAACAAGGUAACCGUAGGGGAA